CGGGGGCGGGGUACUAUACAUGCAAGUCGAGCGGACAGAAGGGAGCUUGCUCCCGGAUGUUAGCGGCGGACGGGUGAGUAACACGUGGGUAACCUGCCUGUAAGACUGGGAUAACUCCGGGAAACCGGAGCUAAUACCGGAUAGUUCCUUGAACCGCAUGGUUCAAGGAUGAAAGACGGUUUCGGCUGUCACUUACAGAUGGACCCGCGGCGCAUUAGCUAGUUGGUGAGGUAACGGCUCACCAAGGCGACGAUGCGUAGCCGACCUGAGAGGGUGAUCGGCCACACUGGGACUGAGACACGGCCCAGACUCCUACGGGAGGCAGCAGUAGGGAAUCUUCCGCAAUGGACGAAAGUCUGACGGAGCAACGCCGCGUGAGUGAUGAAGGUUUUCGGAUCGUAAAGCUCUGUUGUUAGGGAAGAACAAGUGCAAGAGUAACUGCUUGCACCUUGACGGUACCUAACCAGAAAGCCACGGCUAACUACGUGCCAGCAGCCGCGGUAAUACGUAGGUGGCAAGCGUUGUCCGGAAUUAUUGGGCGUAAAGGGCUCGCAGGCGGUUUCUUAAGUCUGAUGUGAAAGCCCCCGGCUCAACCGGGGAGGGUCAUUGGAAACUGGGAAACUUGAGUGCAGAAGAGGAGAGUGGAAUUCCACGUGUAGCGGUGAAAUGCGUAGAGAUGUGGAGGAACACCAGUGGCGAAGGCGACUCUCUGGUCUGUAACUGACGCUGAGGAGCGAAAGCGUGGGGAGCGAACAGGAUUAGAUACCCUGGGUAGUCCACGCCGUAAACGAUGAGUGCUAAGUGUUAGGGGGUUUCCGCCCCUUAGUGCUGCAGCUAACGCAUUAAGCACUCCGCCUGGGGAGUACGGUCGCAAGACUGAACUCAAAGGAAUUGACGGGGGCCCGCACAAGCGGUGGAGCAUGUGGUUUAAUUCGGAAGCAACGCGGAGAACCUUACCAGGUCUUGACAUCCUCUGACACCUAGAGAUAGGGCUUUCCCUUCGGGGACGGAGUGACAGGUGGUUGCAUGGGUUGUUCGUCAGGCUCGUGUCAUGAGAUGUUGGGGUUUAAGUUCCCGGCAAACGGAGCGGCACCCUUUGAAUCUUAGGUUUGCUG
rnacentral:rRNA from 1 species